rnacentral:rRNA from 1 species
AACGCGAAGAACCUUACCUGGGCUUGAACUGCACUUGACAAAGGUAGAAAUAUCUCUCCCGCAAGGGCAAGUGUAGAGGUGCUGCAUGGCUGUCGUCAGCUCGUGCCGUGAGGUGUUGGGUUAAGUCCCGCAACGAGCGCAACCCUUACUCAUAGUUGCUACCCGCAAGGGAGAACUCUAUGAGGACUGCUCCGGAUAACGGAGAGGAAGGUGGGGAUGAGGUCAAGUCAGCAUGGCCUUUAUGUCCAGGGCUACACACGUGUUACAAUGCGCGCUACAGAGCGUUGCAAACCCGCGAGGGGGAGCUAAUCGCACAAAAGCGCGCUCAGUUCGGAUUGCAGUCUGCAACUCGACUGCAUGAAGCCGGAAUCGCUAGUAAUGGCGCAUCAGAACGGCGCCGUGAAUACGUUCCCGGGCCUUGUACACACCGCGCAUA